ensembl:lncRNA
AACUAAAGUGAAAAUAAAAACUAACUCAAAAUAUGAAAUACUACAAUAGUAUAAUAUUUUAACACUAACCAAAAAUUAUUCUAUAAUUAAACAUACACACACACACAAAUUAUACCAAAUAAUUAUGCACCCUCAAAUUUGAAACCUAUUAUUCUCCACAGAACACAUUUUUUCAUUCUUUGUGCAUUGUAGAAUUUUCUGUCUUCUAAUCAACACAAUGAAGUGUCUUGAGUUAUUUUGAGUACAUUUUAUUAAUUGUUUAUUGUUGUCAUCUUCGGUACAAAUGAAAAAGUGUCGCUGUGCAUCUUGCAACACCAGCUGCCCACAGAAUGCUCUUCUGGCCUGCCAAGCCUUCUCUCCUGUAGCUCAAAAUAGCAAAAUGGCUGUUUGCGUGAUCAUUUAGGAGUCAUUUUAUGAUGCACCUCAUGGGGGACAGUAUGUUCACCAUACUGCAACACAAACAUCAACUGCCUCUCUCUCUCUCUUCCUCGUCACGAGACACGUGUUCCAACCAGCUGUGUUCAGUCUGGUGAUGCCUGGGCUGAUUGGGACGCAGGGAAGAAGUGGUGGCUCUGUAGAGAAAUGAGAGAGACUUUUUUUCUGCCAGAGCUACUCUUCCCUCAGAUUCCUUUUUUUUUUUCUUUUGAUCUAUUUCUGAGUAAGUGAAAUAAGGACUUUGUUGUGUUCUUGAGCAGAAAGAGAACUGAAGUCGUUUAAAACCAUUUGAUUAUUUUUGUUUAACAUUAACCAUGUUUGUUAGUAUUUUUAUGUUCUUUGUGAUUUAAGGGAAUGAAGGAGGAGGGUGCCAUUAUUGUUUGUACUUCUCUUUUUCUCCUGGUCAUGGGCAGACAGGACGAGAGGGAAGUUCUGUGUACUUUUAUUUUUGGAUGAGCUUUUUCUAUGUCAUUUUUUAAAAUAUUCUUGGUUUGUUGUUUUGUUAUUUUGGCCUAGCUCUCCCCUGAAGUCUUUGUUCCCUAUAUGUUUCUUAAUACUUUCUUUGAGAUUACUGUUUGUACAUUUUUCUUCUUUUCAAAUUAAAAAGAUAUUAAUUUGAAUGGGUGUUUGUGUUGACUCUGGGAUUGAUCAUCACAUCCUCUCCCAGAAAAACUCUUACGAAACCGAAUUGAAACGUUAGUUCCUAUCACCAAAAUUUAGUUUAUGCUUUCAAGUGGCCGUAUAAGUGGUAAAGCUUUUUUUGGUAUAAAAUGAUGAAAUAAUAGCAUUAUGAGUGCAAUAUUCCG